ACGCUCGACACCUACGGGAGGCGGCAGUGGGGAAUAUUGCACAAUGGGGGAAACCCUGAUGCAGCGACGCCGCGUGAGCGAAGAAGUAUCUCGGUAUGUAAAGCUCUAUCAGCAGGGAAGAAGAUGACGGUACCUGACUAAGAAGCACCGGCUAAAUACGUGCAGCAGCCGCGGUAAUCUGAGGCGGGCUGGCAAGGC
rnacentral:rRNA from 1 species